ensembl:ncRNA
UAUUGCACAUUCACCGGCCUGA